UCCGUAGGCGGGCAAUUAAGUCAGAGGUGAAAUCCCACAGCUCAACUGUGGAACUGCCUUUGAUACUGGUUGUCUUGAGUUACAGUGAAGUAGAUAGAAUAUGUAGUGUAGCGAUGAAAUGCAUAGAUAUUACAUAGAAUACCGAUUGCGAAGGCAGUCUACUAACUGUAUACUGACGCCAAUGGACGAAAGCGUGGGGAGCGAACAGGAUUAGAUACCCUGGUAGUCC
rnacentral:rRNA from 1 species